GGGAACAACAGUGUAAGAGUGUCUGAAUUGACAGUCAGCCUACUGACCAGCAACUACAGGGAGGACCCGUAUACACACUGGGCCUCUGUCUGAGAAGAGAUGAUGCCAAAGGCCGCAGUUCUCAUGAGGACCAGCAGGGGACCAGAGAGAGCAGUCUGGGCAGGGUGCGGCUCCUUUUUCAGGAGGCAGGUGAGGAAACGGUCUUGGCUGCUUUGAAGAGGAAGAGCUACUGUGUAAGGAGUAACACAUGACAGGCUGUGCUGUUGUAGGAAACUAAUCCAUGACACAGUAAUGCCAUGUGGCCUGAUUCAAAAUGGAGUUACUGUACUGUUCCCACAUUGAAGCGGAUUAUUUUCCUACAACAGCACAUCCUGAAAGAUAUGUCA